rnacentral:rRNA from 1 species
GGAAUCUUGCGCAAUGGGGGCAACCCUGACGCAGCCACGCCGCGUGCCGGAAGACGGCCCUAUGGGUUGUAAACGGCUUUUACCAGGGAAGAACCUUUGGGUUUCGACCCGACCUGACGGUACCUGGUUAAUAAGCACCGGCUAACUCCGUGCCAGCAGCCGCGGUAAUACGGAGGGUGCAAGCGUUGUCCGGAAUCAUUGGGUGUAAAGGGUGCGUAGGCGGAAGCCUAAGUCGGGGGUGAAAUCUUACCGCUUAACGGUAAAAUGGCCUUCGAUACUGGGUUUCUUGAGUCCGGAAGAGGUUGGUGGAAUUCGUGGUGUAGCGGUGAAAUGCAUAGAUAUCACGAAGAACACCGGUGGCGAAGGCGGCCAACUGGUCCGGUACUGACGCUGAGGUGCGAAAGCGUGGGGAGCA